rnacentral:rRNA from 1 species
UACGUAGGGGGCAAGCGUUGUCCGGAUUUACUGGGCGUAAAGAGCGUGUAGGCGGCCAAGCAGGUCCGUUGUGAAAACUGGAGGCUUAACCUCCAAACGUCGACGGAAACCGCGUGGCUAGAGUCCGGAAGAGGAGAGUGGAAUUCCUGGUGUAGCGGUGAAAUGCGCAGAUAUCAGGAAGAACACCAAUGGCGAAGGCAGCUCUCUGGGACGGUACUGACGCUGAGACGCGAAAGCGUGGGGAGCGAACAGG